rnacentral:rRNA from 1 species
AUUAGACGAAUCAUCUGGAAAGAUGAAUCAAAGAAGGUAAUAAUCCUGUAGUCGAAAAUGUUGUCUCUCUUGAGUGGAUCCUGAGUACGACGGAGCACGUGAAAUUCCGUCGGAAUCUGGGAGGACCAUCUCCUAAGGCUAAAUACUCUCUAGUGACCGAUAGUGAACCAGUACCGUGAGGGAAAGGUGAAAAGCACCCCGGAAGGGGAGUGAAAUAGAACCUGAAACCGUGUGCUUACAAGUAGUCAGAGCCCGUUAAUGGGUGAUGGCGUGCCUUUUGUAGAAUGAACCGGCGAGUUACGAUUUGAUGCAAGGUUAAGCAGUAAAUGUGGAGCCGUAGCGAAAGCGAGUCUGAAUAGGGCGUUUAGUAUUUGGUCGUAGACCC